AUGGCUAAGAAAGAGGUCUGGGUGGGGGUGUGGGGAGUCAGCAGCCAGGCAUGGGCCAUUGAGAAACAGAUGCCAGGGGAAGAGGAAAGGGGAGUCUCAGACCCCAAGGGGAAAAGAGUCACUGGAAAGAGGGGCCAGCCCCGUGUCACAUCCAGCAGAGACAUCAGGUCACAAACUACACACUGCAGCCCUGUGCCCCUCACACCCAGCAGGUUCCUGCUCCAGUGCAGCUCCUGGACUGGCCCCAGGUGCUGGCCCCGGGGGUUUCAAUCCAAGCAUACUUGACUGAAGUAUGUGUUUGGCAGCGGGACUCAGCUCACUGUUUUAGCUCAGCCCAAGGCAGCCCCCUCGGUCACUCUGUUCCCGCCGUCCUCUGAGGAGCUCCAAGCCAACAAGGCCACACUGGUGUGUCUCAUGAAUGACUUCUAUCCGGGAAGCUUGAGGGUGACCUGGAAGGCAGAUGGUACCCCCAUCACCCAGGGCGUGGAGAUGACCACACCCUCCAAACAGAGCAACAGCAAGUAUGCGGCCAGCAGCUACCUGAGCCUGACGCCCGAGCAGUGGAGGUCCCGCAGAAGCUACAGCUGCCAGGUCACGCAUGAAGGGAGCACCGUGGAGAAGACAGUGGCCCCUGCAGAAUGUUCAUAGGUUCCCAGCCCCCACCCCACCCACAGGGGCCUGGAGCUGCAGGAUCCCAGGGGAGGGGUCUCUCUCUGCAUCCCAAGCCAUCCAGCCCUUCUCCCUGCACUCAAUAAACCCUCAGUAAAUACCCUCUUUGUCAACCA